AACAAGUCUUUUAUUUUUAUUUUUUUUUCUUUCUUUUCUCUCUUCUUCUCCGCCGGAGACAAGACGCAGCUCUUCCACUUCCAAGCGUCUAUGUUCUUCUUUCUCAUCCUCUGAACCGUCUUCUUCGUCUCCAUUCCCCACCAAGCGAUCUAAGGUCAAGAUCGAUGCCGCUAUUGAAUCUGUACGUUAGAUCCGAUUGAGAAUCAAGGACCGGUUUCGGAUUCAGGAUCGGAAUCUGGAGAGCCGGAGCUUGGAUCCUCUGAUCCAGAGAGUGUGACCAGAGACCAAACGAGGUUAGCUUUUUCAUUGACAAGAGUAAGGUUCAAAAAGUGAAAAAGGACAAGACCUUGCUUAUCUCCCGAAGAAGCUCAACACUGAAGGGAAGCUUCCUCUUAAUCAAAAGUAGGUUUGUAUUGUAUCAGUUUUUUGAUAUGCUUUGAUUUGCUUCCGUAGGUGAACUGUGUCUCUAUCAUGGAUCAUCUAACUACAUGGAGAAAGAGGUUCAGUUUACAGGAAUAUUAAGUGAUAAAGCUCAAGAAAAUCCAGACUUUUUCAAUUGGAAUAGAGUUAAGCUUUGUUACUGUGAUGGUGCUUCUUUCAGUGGAGAUGGUCAGAAUGAGGCUGCACAGCUUCAGUUUAGAGGAGAGCGUAUCUAGAGAGCAGCCAUAGAUGAUUUAAAGGCCAAUGGAAUGAGAUACGCCGACCAGGCACUUCUCUCUGGAUGCUCAGGUGGUGGUUUAGCAGCUAUCCUACGUUACGAUGAGUUCAGGAACUUGUUCCCUGGUUCCACCAAAGUCAAGUGCUUAAGUGACGCAGGCUUGUUCUUGGACAAGUUUUAUUUCUCAUCUAAACAUAAAGUCAAACACUUGGGAGCUUUCAAGUUUGAUUUUCAGAGUAUAGUAGAGUUUCAGAGUGUGAAAAACAACCUGCCUCGUCUGUGCACAAACCAUCUUCUCUCUCGGCAGACAAAUAAACCUUUUUUUAUAUAAACGUCUGAAACCAGAACCAUCGAAAUUCAAACACUUGGGAGCUUUCAAGUUUGAUUUCACAUCUAAACAUAAAGUCAAACACUUUUCAAACCCAAAAAAAAAACAUCCGUCAAAAUCUGGAUCCCCCUUAAAUGGAAAUAUCUGCUUUCAGGACAUGGACUCUCCUCCUUCUGACUUCGGGUUCGAAGGUUUUGGUAACGACAAUACUAAAAAACGACCAAGAAGAAGAAGCUGGAGAUGUAAAUGGUAGUAGUAAUAAGCCUGCCUUUGGAGAUAUACUCGCAAUCGCUUUCGCCGCCUAAAACAACAACAUUAAAACGGAGAUCGUAACGUAAGUGAAAAAAAAAGUGAUCAAAUUUGAGGUGAUGGAGAACACUUGGACGGAUCUGGAGUUACCAUUUUUGAGGGCAAGAGAGAUCUCUCCGUUAUGCUUCGCUUCGAUCCGAGGAACUAUAAGGAAAACGAUUUUGAAUCAGUUUCUUCGACUGACACGUGUCUCUCCCGUUGUGGACCGGACCGGUUUACACAAAAUUUAUGGGCCCGUUUUGUUUAGUUAUUCGGUUCAGUAAGCCCAAGUGGAACAUGAGUGAGACCAAGGGUGGUCCGUACGGUGAUCAGACCGGUGCCAAGUUCUGGCAAGUGAUCUGCCGCGAGCACGGCUACGAUCCAACUGUUCGUCACGAUGACAGAACGGUGAAAAUGAGGAAGGUGACGAAGAGUGACAUAGAGAUGAUGGAGAAGAAAAGCAAACAAGACAAGACAAAGAAGAUCAUAGUUUGAAUGUUUAUAUUGUGUUUCGGUUUCUCCCUUUUGAUUCUAUUUCUCUUCCUCUGUGGCUUCUAUUUAUUAAUGAAGAAAAGAUUGAAAGUUUAUGA